CAGAACUUUGUUGUUACACAGCAAUCUACUGAACACCAUCAUGCUCUCAGCACUCAAGUUUCAGAGAACCUCGAGGCACUUUUCCUGCCUGCGACUUCUACAUAAAUCUGCAGUUGAAGUGCAAGAAAGGCCUGCCCCAGAGAAGAC